rnacentral:rRNA from 1 species
UACGUAGGGUCCAAGCGUUAAUCGGAAUUACUGGGCGUAAAGCGUGCGCAGGCGGUUGUGCAAGACCGAUGUGAAAUCCCCGAGCUUAACUUGGGAAUUGCCUUGGUGACUGCACGGCUAGAGUGUGUCAGAGGGGGGUAGAAUUCCACGUGUAGCAGUGAAAUGCGUAGAGAUGUGGAGGAAUACCGAUGGCGAAGGCAGCCCCCUGGGAUAACACUGACGCUCAUGCACGAAAGCGUGGGGAGCAAACAGG